rnacentral:lncRNA from 10 species
CAGUAGAUCAGAUUUUUCUGAAUCCAGUGAGACCUUGUAGUGAAUCGUCAAACCUGAAGGCAGUCUUGGGGACCCCAGACACAAAUGUGCUAAAGUUAUACAAACUGAAAUUCAGUGAGACAGCUCUGGUUACUCAGGUCAAACUGCAGGACAUCCCCAGUGCUCGUUAUAUCUCAUCUCUUUGUGAAAAAGCCCUUGUUCUACAGAAAAACCGGAAACAAAUCACAAAACGAAUGAGAUAUCGUACCUGUCAUUCAACACACGCCCCCGCAGGGCCUAUGUCCACUCAGGAUUCAGCCGGGGACACCUCAGAAGUCAGCCCCAGCCACCUGGGUCACACAGCACGCCCAUAACCCUCUACCACCAUCCCUUCUGAAUCUGUAUGUUUUUAAAAGCGACAAAAGCUCUGUGAAUGAAGGAAUAUCCUGUACCUGGUAGGCUAUUUCUUCACAAGCAGCAGACGCUGACUGUGGCGUGUGGCUCACUAGUAUGACUUGCGGCGAGCCUGCUCCACCCUGGCCCGAGAGAGAGGGAUCCGUGAGGAGCGCUGGGAACUGCUGACCCUGGCAAAAGAUUAGUACUAUUUCAGAAGUUGUAACUUUAGCAAAACAAGCAAUAAUUUAAAAGAUCUUUUAUGGUGCAGCUACCUUGGAAAACAAGCUGGUAGCUCCUCAAAAAGUGAACCGUGGAGUCACCAUGUAACCCAGCAACCCAAGAGAAGUGAAAACAGAAGCCUUGUACAGAAAUGUCCACAGGAGAAUUACCCAUAGCCAAAAAAUGGAAACAGCCCAAAUGCCCAUCAACCGAUAAAUGCACAAAUGAAAAUGUGGUAUAAGGGAAUAUUGUUCAGUAAUAAGAAGGUACAAAGUUCUGGUACAUGCUACAGCAUGGAGGAGCCUUGGAAAUACUCUAAGGAAUGAAAAAAGCCAGUCACAAAAGACCACACGGAUGAUCACAUUUCUAUGAAAUACCCAGAACGGAUGCAUCUACGGAGACAGAAAGUGGACUGGCAGUUGCCAGGGGCAGCGGUGAGGGUGGGCCGGGGGUCGGGGGAACAUGGAGUGAUGGCUCAUGGCUCCACGUUUCUUUAAGGGGUGAUGAAACGUUCUAAAAUUAGACCAUGGUGAUGGUUGUACAACUCUGUAAAUACACUGAAAACCAUUCAAUUGUAUACUUUAAAUAAUUAGGUGAACUUAUAUAAAUUACAUCUCAGAGUCUCUACAUGUGUGUAUAUUUAAAAAACACUUAUUUGCUUAGAAACACAUAUACAAUUUUGCUAUGCUAUAGAAAACUACUGUAAGUCUUCUUACCAGCCCAGCACACCUCUAGCUAUGAGAGCAGAUCUGAGAGAAUACGAGAGAAUGAGAAAGGUAGGGUGGUAUGGGGCACAAGAGCAGAGAGGAAGCUGCAGCUUAAAAGGUCUGAAUAUCUACUGCAAAUUUAUAGAAAUAAUUCAGCAUGCAACUUGAACUGCUGUAAUCAGCACUGAUUCUAAACAUAUUUUACACACAGUUAAAACCGUGGCUGACCACAGGAAGCAUGGCUGAUGUUCUUGGCUCCUGUGCUUUAAGGUGAGGGGUGUUUCUCAAUGUUUUAGGGAACUACACAAGCUGAGCCCCCAAAAGGAAAUUAAGAAUUGAGGAGGGGAUGCUAUAUUAGUCCGUUUUCACGCUGCUGAUAAAGACAUGCCCUUGACUGGGCAAUUUACAAAAGAAAGAGGUUUAAUUGGACUGACAGUUCCAUGUGGCUGGGGAAGCCUCAUGAUCAUGGUGGAAGGCAUGAAGGAGCAAAUCACAUCUUACAUGGAUGGCAGCAAAGAGAGGAGAGCUUGUGCAGGGAAACUCCCCUUUUUAUAACCAUCAGAUCUCAUGAGACUUAUUCACUAUCAUGAGAACAGCAAGGGAAAGACUUGCCCCCAUGAAUGAAUUACCUCCCACCAGGUUUCUCCCACAACACAUGGGAAUUCAAGAUGAGAUCUGGGUGGGGACACGGCCAAACUAUAUCAGACACAGUGGAGGAAAAAUAGGACUGAGAUGGCAUUUUUAAAAACUUCCUCCAUCAGAGAAUUUUAGGUUCACUUCUUAAGGGAAAGAGUGGCAGGUGGCAAAAUAGAAGCCAAAAACAUACAGUCAUCAUCAGGGAUUCCAGAGAAAGAGAGCUUCUAACUUGAUUUGGGUUCCUUACUUCCCAUAUGCAGCUUUUUAAAAAAGCAAAAUUAGGCUAUUUUAGGUAUCUCCAUAUAUCAGCCUAAUUUUUUACAUAAACAUGAUCUAAAUUGAAAAGUUCUUUUUCUUUUUUUGGAGAUAAAGUCUUGCGCUGUCACCCAGGCUGGAGUGCAGUGGCUUAAUCUCAGCUCACUGCAACCUCUGCCUCCCGGGUUCAAGUGAUUCUUGUGCCUCAGCCUCCCAAGUAGCUGGGAUUACAGGCAUGCGCCACGUGUGGCUAAUUUUUGUAUUCUCAGUAGAGAUGGGGGUUUCACUAUGUUCGCCAGGCUAGUCUGGAACUCCUGACCUCAGGAGAUCCACCAACCUUGGCCUCCCAAAGUGGUGGGAUUACAGGUGUGAGCCACUGCACCUGAAGUUCCUACCUAUACUAACAAAGCUUCAUGUUCCCUACCUCCCUACAUAGAGAAGUUGAUUGAAUAUUGCUAUUUUCAAAUACCGGUGAAUGCUAUACUUUUUUGUGACAUGUCUGUUGACAGCUGCUGCCACCACCCUUAUCAGACUACCCAAUUUGAAAAACUGUAUUAAUCAACCUGGACUUAUUAAUUCACAUUUGUUUUAUUAAUCAAAGACCAAAAAAACUGCUGGUCAGAAAUUCUGAUGCACAUAAGAACCAAUUGGCUCAAUAAAUUAAUAUAUUCCCAAACUAAAGGUAAGAUAUUUGAGAGUCUUAGCUUGUAUAGGUAUAUCAAGGGAAAAAUUACAACUUCUUGUUGUUUUGAAAUAGCAAAAUUACAGAAAUAAAGAACAGAGUGGCAGAUGUCAGGGUUAAGAGGGUCUUGAAGUCAUUAUAAAAAGCAACAUGAGGGGUCCUUGAGAUGAUGGAAAUAUUCUGUAUCUUGGCUUAUCAAUGAUAACAACUGUUUGUGAUAUUAUACUACAGUUCUGCAACAUGCUCCUGUUGGGCAAAACUGGGUAAGUGUAUGUGGAAUCUCUCUGUACUAUUUUUUAAAAAUUGCCCAUGAGUCUACAAUUAUCUCAAAAUAAAAACUUAAAUUAAAAAAAC